rnacentral:piRNA from 1 species
AAUAGUGAGAUUAAAAGAAAAGCAGG